rnacentral:rRNA from 1 species
GACGAACGCUGGCGGCGUGCUUAACACAUGCAAGUCGAACGGAAAGGCCCUGCUUUUGUGGGGUGCUCGAGUGGCGAACGGGUGAGUAACACGUGAGUAACCUGCCCUUGACUUUGGGAUAACUUCAGGAAACUGGGGCUAAUACCGGAUAGGAGCUCCUGCUGCAUGGUGGGGGUUGGAAAGUUUCGGCGGUUGGGGAUGGACUCGCGGCUUAUCAGCUUGUUGGUGGGGUAGUGGCUUACCAAGGCUUUGACGGGUAGCCGGCCUGAGAGGGUGACCGGCCACAUUGGGACUGAGGUACGGCCCAGACUCCUACGGGAGGCAACAGUGGGGAAUAUUGCACAGUGGGCGGAAGCCUGAUGCAGCAACGCCGCGUGCGGGAUGACGGCCUUCGGGUUGUAAACCGCUUUCGCCUGUGACGAAGCGUGAGUGACGGUAAUGGGUAAAGAAGCACCGGCUAACUACGUG